GGGUUUGGUUUUGGAGUUGUCGACACAAUUAAUGACUUAGGAAGGAUAUCCUUUUUAAGCGGUUUCAUUGGAAGCGUACUUGAUUCUAUAAGGGAUGGAUCGGAUGUGAGGGGAUACUUUAUUUGGGCCUUUUUGGAUGUUUAUGAAUGGAUAACUGGGCUUACAGAAAGAUUUGGGCUCUACCAUGUAAAUUUUGAGGACACUGAACUUGAGAGAACACCUAGGCUUUCAGCCGACUGGUACCGAAACUUCCUUAAAGAUGGAGGAAAAAUCAAGAUAGAGAAACUUUGCCAGCAAAGGGCAAAAGCUCAGUCGUCACAGUAAACAGUUAUUUUCUAAUGUUUUGAAUCAUUCUGUAACGUUCAGGAAUUGUCAUAAUUUUUCAAACUUAUCAUUUUGCUCAGAGAGAUUGUUUAAUUUGCUUCGGAUCAGAGAAUUCUGAUAUAUUGAAUGUUGUUGAACUUGCUCAAAAAUGCUCCAGAAAUUUUUGGAAGCUAGUGGCAAUUUCCAUGA